rnacentral:rRNA from 1 species
UACAGAGGGGGCAAGCGUUAUUCGGAAUUAUUGGGCGUAAAGGGCGCGUAGGCGGCCUGGCAAGUGGAUGGUGAAAUCCCUCGGCUUAACCGAGGAACUGCCAUCCAGACUGCUUGGCUUGAGACCGGGAGAGGUGAGUGGAAUUCCCAGUGUAGCGGUGAAAUGCGUAGAUAUUGGGAGGAACACCAGUGGCGAAGGCGGCUCACUGGACCGGUACUGACGCUGAGGCGCGAAAGCGUGGGGAUCAAACAGG